rnacentral:lncRNA from 1 species
UGGUUCCCCAAGUUGGAUUCGGGUGCAGUUGCUACUUGGGUCUAUCCUAGACUCUCUUUCUGGAGUAAAUGAAUGCACGUGUGUUGCAUCUCUGUCUCCUCAGGAAACGUCUCCCCCACACUGAGUUGUACUCAGCAGCUUCCCCGGGGUUUCUCACAGCUUCAGUCAUUAGUGCAGCUUGUAGUUGGCCCUUGAGGAUCUUGCCUCUGUUUGUCUGUCAAAUGUGAUGCAUUGUUCCCACUCACUUCCACUUUUCCAACAAUGACUUACAGUUGAAAAUACAUCUGAUCCUGACUUUCAACAGCAUUCUCCACAUCCAUCCAAUGGCACCUGGAGCAACCCACCAGGAAGCUACAGGGCGCAGUGCUUAAACGGCAAAGCAUCCUGAAUGAAAAGGACGCUGAAAAAAAUGCAGCUGUGGUCUGCAUUGAUGAGAAACUCAGAGCAGCUGAAGAAGCAGAUGAUGUUGUCUACACAGGGUGAGCUGAGACGCUGUCAGGAACAUCACCCCGGAAUGAAAGCAGGCAGCGAGCAAAGUUCACACAGAAGAAAGCUGCCAAUCACCAGGGCACUGCGGUGAGAGCUGAGAUCUUCCUCCUGGUGGUCCUUGCUAUCUCUUUACACAGU